AAGCUCACAGACGGCGCAGCCAACACCCCCUCCGGCCUUAUUGCCGCCUCCAUCGCCCACGCCUUCGCACUGUUUGUUGCUGUUUCAGUUGGCGCCAACAUCUCCGGUGGCCACGUCAACCCCGCUGUCACCUUCGGCGCCUUCGUCGGAGGCAACAUCACCCUCCUCCGCGGCAUCGUGUACUGGAUCGCCCAGCUCCUCGGUUCCACCGUCGCUUGCUUGCUCCUCAAGUUCGCCACCGGCGGCCUGGUAAGCUUGCCCGAGUUGAAUUUUCUAUCGUCAUGCUUAUUAAGUUGUUUAAUUUAUCCAAUUAACUUUCCUAAUUAAUAUUUAAUGUUACGUCAACUAUCUUUACAGGAAACGGCAGCGUUCAGCUUAUCCGAGGGAGUCGGAGUGUGGAACGCCGUCGUUUUGGAGAUUGUGAUGACAUUCGGUUUGGUCUACACCGUCUACGCUACUGCCGUGGACCCUAAGAAGGGAGACUUGGGGACCAUCGCUCCGAUCGCAAUAGGUUUCAUCGUCGGAGCCAACAUUCUGGUCGGUGGAGCAUUCUCCGGAGCUUCGAUGAACCCGGCAGUGUCAUUCGGGCCUGCUUUGGUCAGCUGGAGCUGGGUGAACCACUGGGUUUACUGGGUUGGACCCCUGAUCGGAGCUGGAAUUGCU
rnacentral:lncRNA from 1 species